CAGUAUUCUCCCCCAGCUGUGUCUUAGCUGGUCCCACUAUCCGCGCAGAAGACGUGUUCGAAGCCUUCCAUGUAACCUUCAUAUUCGUCGCAGUAGAUGGUGUCUAUACCACCGCCUGCGAAGGCAAAAUCAUAAGCGUUGUCGAAGCUAAAGACUUCAUCAUCGCCGCCCAGGGCAAAGAUGAUGUCGCUACCAUCGCCGCCGAUCAGUUGAUCGUCAAACUCGCUGCCGAAGAUCGUAUCGUCUCCGUGGCCG
rnacentral:misc_RNA from 1 species